rnacentral:rRNA from 1 species
GGAAUUUUGGACAAUGGGCGCAACUCUGAACCAGCCAUGCCGCGUGCAGGAUGAAGGCCCUAUGGGUCGUAAGCUGCUUUUGUACGGGAAAAAACCCCUCUACGUGUAGAGGGCUGAUGGUACCGUAAGAAUAAGGAUCGGCUAACUCCGUGCCCGCAGCCGCGGUAAUACGGAGGAUCCAAGCGUUAUCCGGAUUCAUUGGGUUUAAAGGGUGCGUAGGCGGAAUAGUAAGUCAGUGGUGAAAGCCUGCAGCUUAACUGUAGAAUUGCCAUUGAUACUGCUAAUCUUGAGUUUAGAUGAAGUGGGCGGAAUGUGUCAUGUAGCGGUGAAAUGCUUAGAUAUGACACAGAACACCGAUUGCGAAGGCAGCUCACUAAACUAAAACUGACGCUGAGGCACGAAAGCGUGGGGAUCAAAC